AUUGAACGCUGGCGGCAGGCUUAACACAUGCAAGUCGAGCGGGGGAAGGUAGCUUGCUACCGGACCUAGCGGCGGACGGGUGAGUAAUGCUUAGGAAUCUGCCUAUUAGUGGGGGACAACAUCUCGAAAGGGAUGCUAAUACCGCAUACGUCCUACGGGAGAAAGCAGGGGAUCUUCGGACCUUGCGCUAAUAGAUGAGCCUAAGUCGGAUUAGCUAGUUGGUGGGGUAAAGGCCUACCAAGGCGACGAUCUGUAGCGGGUCUGAGAGGAUGAUCCGCCACACUGGGACUGAGACACGGCCCAGACUCCUACGGGAGGCAGCAGUGGGGAAUAUUUGACAAUGGGGGGAACCCUGAUCCAGCCAUGCCGCGUGUGUGAAGAAGGCCUUAUGGUUGUAAAGCACUUUAAGCGAGGAGGAGGCUACUUUAGUUAAUACCUAGAGAUAGUGGACGUUACUCGCAGAAUAAGCACCGGCUAACUCUGUG
rnacentral:rRNA from 1 species